UACAGAGGGCCCGAGCGUUGUUCGGAUUCAUUGGGCGUAAAGGGUGCGUAGGCGGUUUGCUAAGUUUGAUGUGAAAUCCCGGGGCUUAACCCUGGAAUUGCAUUGAAUACUGGCGGACUAGAGUCCUGGAGAGGAAACUGGAAUUUACGGUGUAGCAGUGAAAUGCGUAGAGAUCGUAAGGAAGACCAGUGGCGAAGGCGAGUUUCUGGACAGGUACUGACGCUGAGGCACGAAGGCCAGGGGAGCAAACGGG
rnacentral:rRNA from 1 species